rnacentral:misc_RNA from 1 species
GAUGAAGAACGUAGCGAAAUGCGAUAAGUAAUGUGAAUUGCAGAAUUCAGUGAAUCAUCGAAUGUUUGAACGCACAUUGCGCCCGCCAGUAUUCUGGCGGGCAUGCCUGUUCGAGCGUCAUUUCAACCAUCAAGCUCUGCUUGCGUUGGGGUCCUGCGGCUGCCCGCAGGCCCUGAAAACCAGUGGCGGGCUCGCUAGUCACACCGAGCGCAGUAAUACAUCUCGAUUUGGGCGUGCGGCGGGUUCUUGCCGUUAAACACCCCCUUUUUACCAAGGUUGACCUCGGAUCAGGUAGGAAUACCCGCUGAACUUAAGCAUAUCAAUAAGCGGAGGA